GGGCCUCCUCAGCCACCAAUGGGCUCACAAAUCUGCCUCCCCAGACCGGGCCCCGGGGUCCUGCCGCGCUCUCCUGGCCUCUGCUUUUCAGCCCCGCCCGUGGGUGCCUGGCUGUGCAGACAGGCAGGCCUGGGAGGGGCUGGGGCUCUGGGCCGCCACGUGGGACAGGAUGGCUGUGAAGUGGGAUGACCCAGCCACUGUGCUUCUGUUCAACGGCGAGCAAAUGAGUAAACCCCCCAGCAGCCAUGUCCCGCGCGCCCUGACCGUGGUCCUGAAGCAGGCACUCGGGAAGAACAGCUCGCUGAUCCAGCGAGUAGGGGAGGCGAGGGUCUGCCAUCCGGCCCCCACCAGCUCCCGCUGCCCCGUGUCUGAGCCUAGGUCUCCCUCCUGAAAGAAGAAACGUGUGCGGGGGAGAAAUCACCCUGGGACCCCACCCGGGGCCUCCAGUGACCAUAGACCAAGGGCAUGCGGACCUCCAAGGACUGAUGCGGGUGGCCACUGGGCUCGAGUCUGUGCAGGGGGCCCUUGAGCGGUCUCCACGGUCAUGAGCAUCCUCUCUUAGAGUCACUCUCAGAUACUUGCCCCGAAGCCCCCAGGGUCUAGUGAGUGGAUGGGGGCCCUGAGGCUGGAGAAGCCGUGGACCCCCCCCCCAGGGCCCCCCAGCCUACAGCCCUGCCCUGCCCCGUGGGGAGGACCCCAGGGCAGGUCGGAAGGAAGAGGAUCCUGCUCUGGGAUGCGUGGGCUGGUGACUCCUCCCUGACCGAGGCUUCGUCCCUGCGGUGGCCACACUGCGGUGGCCACACUGCGGCGGCGGGGCAGGGGGAAAGCAGCCCCACCUCCUGCCGGCUGAGGCCCGCCGCUCCUCCAGGUUGGCCGCUGGCUCACCCACCAGCUCUUAACAGCUCAGCUGUGGUCCUCCGUGUGUGCCCUGGAGAGACGGGGCUUCCCUGGGCACCAGGAUCUUCACCCCGUGGAGCCCAGGUCUGCAGUGAUGAGCACAGAUGCCCGGACCAGGGGGGCACUGGGAGUAACCACUUCUGCUCCUCCCCAGGCCCCCGGCCCCCAGCCCUGAGCCUGGCACAGCACCGCCCAGGCCCCACUGUGGGUGGGGGCCGUGCUGUGACCCUCCCACCGCUGGGACAGUGCAAUGUUCUCAGGGUUCUCAAGCCCCGGACCUUGCUGCAUAAAGGCAGGAGAUGGCGCGGCCCCGGAGCUGGAUGAGGACAUGCUCUCGGCCCGCCCUGUGGGAUGGCUGUGUGCAGCCCCUUUUCUCCAUGGAGACAGACACCAGCACUUUCAAACCGUGGCCACACACGCUUCCCCGAGCCCACCGGCCUUCCCGCCUCUGGGCACCUGCCCAGCGGCUCCGCUCAGGACGCCAGCCCAGCCCGUGCCAUCCAGUCCCAGAAGGAAGUCGGGGGCAGCAGACGCUGCAGGGCCGGCCUGGCAACUGACCAGGGCCCCGCAGGGCUGAGAGGCCUGGCCUCAGCCAGCUCUCCUCCCCAGAGCGCGGUGGGCACUGCUUGCCCUUGGCGGGCACGAAGCUCCCACCUGGGGUCUCCACCACAAGAGCGCACUCUUCACUGGCCCCAGCAGGACAGGUGUCCAUGCCAGUCACACACACGGGGACUGGAGGAACGGCCAACGUGGUUCUCAGGUCUCCCGCCCUAACGAGGACCCCAGGGCCCCCGCUCUAAUGGCCGCGAGGCACCUCAGGUCUCCACACCCCAGCACCACGCAGACCCUGUGUCCUCCCCCGGGGCCCCUCGCUGGAAGCCUGCAGGGCCGGGCUGUCCCCCCUCCGCCCAACACUGAGAUUCUCGGCCAUGGGCUGGGAGCUGCCGGUGGCAAGAGGUCCCCUGGCAGGCUGCGGGCAGAGCGGCGGGGGCGGGACCUGGGUCAGCGCGGGCCCCUCAGCUGCCCUGCUGGCUGGCGCGGGGUGGGGGCCAGGGAGGGUCAUCCAAGUGAGAUGGGACAGUGGCAAGGACUCGGGGGUGAUGAGCGCUGGGCAGGCUCUGGACCCCGGCCCACCUUGUGCAGCCCACCUCCCGUCCAGCGGGCAGCAGGAGCCGGCGGCCCCCGGUGGAGCGACCCACAUGUGUGAAGCUGAGGGAGGCCCCCCAGCCAGGACCCGGACCAGCCACACCAACGCCACCCUGGCCGAGAUGUCCCGCGAGACCGCGGCCCUGCUCCGCGCCUUGACUUGGGGGGCGUGGCCGCACCUGGAUUCCAGGCCCUCAGGAGCCGGGAGACAGCCAUAGGGUUUGGGGUCACUUGCAAUGACCGCAGGACGCUGAAGGAGCCAGCUGUAGGUGUGACGGAGCAGAGGCCAGGGCGUCCGGGCGAGAGGGCAGUGCCCACCUGGCACUCGGGGGGCAGGUCCCGAGAAGCUGCUCCGAUGAGGGGAGCCAUACGUGUCUCUGUGGCCCCUGUAGGGCAGCGGUGGCGGAAGGAGGGCCUGGGAGCGGCCAGAGGAUGAGGAGGGGUCAGGAUUUGGGGGACGGGACAUGGGCCGGCAGCAGCAGGCAGCAGGGAGGGUUUCUCCAGACACGUCCUGCUCCCUGAGUUUGGGGGGGAGAUGGGGUGGUCGGUGGGGGUGGGGGAGAUGGGGUGGUCGGUGGGGGUUGGGGAUCCUACCUGGGUGAGCAGGACAGUGAGAACGGCCAGACGGCGUCGGUGCUGAAGAGCCUGGGGCUCCCGGGUCCAGCGGCUGGACUCUGCGCUUCCAUCGCCCCGGGGCAACCGUUCAAUCUCUGGUCCGGAAACUGAGAGACCCUGCAGGCUGCACAGUGCAGACAAAACACCUACACACUCACACACACGUGCGCUCACAUGCGCUCACACACACACACACACUCACACGCGCUCACACACACGCGUACUCACACUCACACACUCUCAUACACAUUCACACACGCACUCACACACACACGUGCUCACACACUCACACUCACACGUGCUCACACAUUCACACACACACACAUGCACUCACACUCACAUGCACUCACACACUCACACUCACAUUCACACACACACGUGUGUUCUCACAUGUGCUAACACACACACGCACUCACACACACACUGUCAUACACAUUCACACACGCAUUCACACACACACACAUGCGCUCACACUCACACACACACGCUCACAAACUCACACUCACGUGCUCACACACACUCACACACACACGCACACACACACGCACUCACACACACACACAUGCGCUCACACUCACACACGUGCUCACAAACUCACACUCACGUGCUAACACACAUUCACACACACACACACACACUCACACGUGCUCACACACUCACACUCACACGCGCUCACACAUUCACACACACACACAUUCACACACGCACUCACACACACACGUGCUCACACACACUCACACGUGCUCACACAUUCACACACACACACAUGCACUCACACUCACACACGCGCUCACAAACUCACACUCACGUGCUCACACACAUUCACACACACACACACGCACUCACACUCACACACAUUCACACACUCACACACACGUGCGCUCACAUACGCUCACACACACAUGCACACUCACAUGCACUCACACACACAUGCACUCACACUCACACACUCAUACACAUUCACACAUGCAUCACACACACACGUGCUCACACACACAAACUCACGCUCACACACACUCAUACACACACACGCACUCACACACACUCUCAUACAUUCACACACAUGCACUCACACGUGCUCACACACAUUCACACACACUCACAUGUGCUCACACACACAUUCACACACAUGCACUCACACUCGCACUCACAUACAUUCAUACACACACACUCAUGCACUCACAGGCACUCACACACACACACUCACAUGCACUCAUGCACUCACACAUUCACACACACACUCACACACUCACACUUUCACACAGUCACACACUCAUACUCACACGCACUCACACACUCACACACACACACUCAUACUCACACACCCGCACUCACACACUCACACACACAGUCACACACUCACACUCACACACGCACACACACCCCACCCUGAGAUCCCACCUUGCACCCACCAGGAUGGCCAUCACCAAAACAGAGCCAGGCAGAUGCCAAGCAUUGGCAGGAGGUGGCAGUCGUGUCCGACUCUUUGCGACCCCAUGGACCGCAGCCCCCCAGGCUCCUCUGUCCAUGGGAUCCUCCAAGCAAGAAUACUGCAUUGGGUUGCCAUUUCCUCCUCCAGGGGAUCUUCCCAACCCAGGGACGGAACCCGGGCCUCUUGCGUCUCCUGCACUGGCAGGCAGGUUCCUUACCACAGCGCCACCUGGGAAGCCCAUGGAACGAUGCGGUUCCCCGGGAUGGGCCCGAUGACCCACAGGACCCGGGGUUCCACUCUUGGGUCUGCCCAUGGAACGAUGCAGUUCCCGGGAUGGGCCCGAUGACCCACAGGACCCGGGGUUCCACUCUUGGGUCUGUAACGCCUAUAAGAGCCGAGAGCAGAGUCUCCCACAGGUGCCUGCACACACCCGCACUCACAGCAGACAGGGGUGGGACCCACGUGUCAAUCAGCA
ensembl:lncRNA